UGCUCCCUGCGGUGUUAGUUUAGACCCCUAUUCUUUGAACCAAUUUUAAGAAAUAGGUUGUAAGUCAGAGUGAUGUUGUUGUGAGCUUCCUGCAAGGAAGCACCUGAUACAUCCGACAAGCGACCGCCUUGGACCUUAUGGUUCAAGAUGAAGGGCUGACGGCAUUUGUGGGGAGCUU
rnacentral:misc_RNA from 1 species